CAGGCCAUGAGUGCCAUCGCCACCAUGAGUUACCACCGCAGCCCAGCUUUGGCCAACGUGGUGGCACUGGUCCCAGCUGGGGGCCCUGAGCAGAGCAUCAUGCCUCUGCCCUCUCUCCCCUUGCAGCAGAGCACGGCUGCUUCCCAAGAAGGAGAAGAACAGUCUCCUGCACACCUCCAUCAGCACUGUCCUCCAUCUCCCUCACCACGAGGAUGACACAGACUGGGAUGCUGCAUCCUGCAUGGAGAUGAGUAUGGGCUGAGCCCUGGGAAUGCUUCCUGGACACCACCACCUGGGAUGCCCCUCUGCUGCCAGGAUGGCUGCCCUGCACCCUGUCCUUCUUGCAGACCAUGGAGGCCCUGCACCGCCUGCUGCAGGGACUAGUGGGCAGUGCCAGCACCACUGUCCCCGUGGAGCUGCAGAACAUCUUGGAGGUCUGGCUGUAGCAAAGCUGGGAUUUGUGGGGACGGUUCAAGGCUGUGAAGGGGGGAUCCACGCAAGGUCCCCCCAGGGCCUGCUACAGGCAGAGGAUGCUGGCCCGAGGCCGGCCCUUGUGGGGUCAGAGGGAUGGGUGAGGAGCAGCAGGAGGGCGGCGGGGCUGCAGUAAGACAGGGACACAAGCACCCACCCCCACUGCAGCUGGGGAGCGAGCAGAAGGACUAGUGCCUUGUCCUGGGGGCACACCGGCAGCUUUUCUCUCCACAGCUCCUGCUGCCCUUCACCAUGGGCCAGCUGGUGGCCGUGGAGGAGAGGGCUGCGAUGUGCACUGGCAGGCUGCUCGCCUUCACCAACACCUGCUCCUUGCCAGAGGUAGGGCGCUCUGGUGUGCACAGCUCUGGGGACCAUGUCCUUGCUCCCCAGCUGGAACCCACCUGUCUCACCUGUCUCCAGGCUUGCACAGAGCCUGGGCUGGGCCCUGCUGCCCCGCUCAGCCAUGCGCCUCUGCUGCCUCUCUCCCCAGCUGUGCUACUGCUUCACGGGAACCGCCGUCUUCCAGCACAGGUGCCAGGAGAACCAACGCUUCCCUGUGCUGGGGAAGCUGGCCAGGCACCUCCUCCUCUCCUGCACCUCCACGCAUGAGAGGACCAGAGACGAGGCGAUGAAGGCUGUCCAUCAGCUUUUCACCUUCAUCACCACCUCAAGACUGUCGCUGGAGCACAAGGAGCCCAAGGUGCCACAGGUUUGGGAGAGGCAGCUAGCUUUGCUCCACCACGAGGCUUCCCCUGAGAACAGAGCCGUUGCUAUCUUUCAGGUACAAAGAGCAAACCCUGAACCCACAGGAGAACCCAGGCCUGCAGUGUCAGAAAGAGUGCAGGCGCUUUCCCCAAGCAGCCCUGGUGCCUGUAGGGCCCUCACACUCCGUAUCUUCGGCGCCACCCAGCCCGGCCCCUGCUCCCAGCUCUCCUGAGGCCCCGACACGGCUGAGCAGCCAUGCAGGGGAUGAGUCAUUCCUCCUCUCCUUCUUCCCACAGGUCCUUCUGAAAUACCUCCUGUACCCCAAAAGGGUGAAUGUCUU
rnacentral:lncRNA from 1 species